rnacentral:rRNA from 1 species
UGGGGAAUCUUCCGCAAUGGACGAAAGUCUGACGGAGCAACGCCGCGUGUAUGAUGAAGGUCUUCGGAUUGUAAAGUACUGUCAUUGGGGAAGAACGGUUUUCUUGAAAAGAUUGAGAAGACAUGACGGUACCCAAGGAGGAAGCCCCGGCUAACUACGUGCCAGCAGCCGCGGUAAUACGUAGGGGGCAAGCGUUGUCCGGAAAUUAUUGGGCGUAAAGGGCGCGUAGGCGGGCCUUUAAGUCCGGUGUGAAAGAUCAGGGCUCAACCCUGAGAGUGCAUCGGAAACUGGAGGCCUUGAGGACAGGAGAGGAAAGUGGAAUUCCACGUGUAGCGGUGAAAUGCGUAGAUAUGUGGAGGAACACCAGUGGCGAAGGCGACUUUCUGGACUGUAACUGACGCUGAGGCGCGAAAGCGUGGGGAGCAAAACAGGAUUAGAUACCCUGGUAGUCCACGCCGUAAACGAUGAGUGCUAGGUGUAGAGGGUAUCGACCCCCUUCUGUGCCGCAGUU